UUCUUGGAACCGUUUGAACCUGCUCUGGACUGGGACCUGGGGAGCACCGAGAGCUUGCACUUCGUGGCCUACUGGGGCCUACUGUGGGCAGCAGCCUUUCCCACUGCCAGAGUGAUUCAUAACAGAGCGACCACCCACAGGAGAGACUUUCUGAAUUUGUCCUCUCUUCAGAGGGGUGAAUGAGUUCUGUCAUCUGUUUAGGAAUAAAUAAAUUCAAAAUGCUGCUCUUCAUAUUCUAUUACCAAUGAAAAUAAAGUUCAAUUACCAUGCUAAGUUUGCAUUUGGACUCAGAGGAGACAAAAUAAUAAAGGCUGAUGGAGUAUCAGCCAAUCUUCUCUUAGUAAAAGAAAACAGCUGAAAAGGGAUCAAGAAACUUUGCACUUUUCCCAAAUGGUAUCAACCUAUGGCUACCUAAAACUGGGGAGAAGUUUGCAGACUGGACAAGUCUUGGCUAUGUUGAAAUUCAUGCUGAAAAUGCAGUGGUGCAUUAGGAUUUUUAAGGCUGCAGUUCUCUGAAGUUCUCAGCUUGAAGCCUUUCACUGAAACAUUUAGAAAAUAACAAAACAGGUAAACAGAAGGAAUUUUUUUUUUUUUUGCUGGACACAAAUACUGGGUUUAAGGUAAGUCUUUCUAUAGUAACUUCUGAGCAUGUAUUACUGCCUGUAAUUCAGCCCAUUACCUUGAUCUUUUUUCCUCCUCUGUGAUGUACAUGUUAUACAGACAGUUCCAACAGGAAGGUUCUAUAUUUGCAGCUCUUUUAGGUCUAAGCAACAUUAUAUUAUUCAUUGCUUUUUAUCCAGCUAUGUAUUUGGCUGUCUUACAGAUCCAUGCAGAGCUGAAAAUGAAUGAAAUAUUUAAGAUGCUUUGUUUAUCUUUAUGUUGUGAUCACUCCCAGUGAAACAUCCAUGUCACCAAGAGCUAGGAGAGUUCCAGCUGAAUUCCUGAUUAACUUUUUUUGACCUCCUGUGCAGUAUGUCAGCUUUUCCCUGUGGCUGGAUUAUGUACGGCUGUCUUAGCAUCCACCACACAUUGUGAUCAUCAUGGUCAUGUCUUUGCUCUCAGAAUGGCAGCAUAUCACAGAAUCCCAGAGUGGUUUGGGUUGGAAGGAACCUUAAAGAUCAUUUAGUUUCAACAAUUUCCACUAUCCCAAAUUGCUCCAAGCCCCGUCCAACCUAGCCGGGAACACUUCCAGGGAUACAGAGGCAGCCACAGGUUCUCUGAACAACCUGGAAGUGCCUCACCAUCCUCAGAGGGAACUCUUUUUAUCCAUGAAAUAAUUCAUAUGUUUUUUUGAGUUGGGCUGUUUGUGCAUCUCUCUCAUAAAAAGUGCUUAAUUAAAGCAGCUUUAAUUUUGUUUCUUUCAAAAGGAUCUUGCUAGAUAAAAUAGUCAGUUCUGAAGACUCAGGAAUAAAUUAAGAAUCCUCCUCAGACAGAAAUAUAGCUAAUUAAAUAAAGGUAAACAUAAUUAGACUCAUAUCUGGAGUAAAGGUACGAGAGAUGGUGAUAUAGAUGAAGCUGUUCAGCUCAGACUGUGAUAUCGUUGCUGUAAAUUUGAGAAUCCUCAAAGUAAUAAUUUCCAGUCCCUGGGAAUAUCAUCCUCUUUGAGAAGCUUUGACGCAGGAAGCCUAAAAAUCAAGUGUCCUGAGACAGUAAUUUUGGAAGACAGUGGCAGUUUUUCUCCAUCCCAGUCUUUAGGCUCUGCAGAAUCUUUCUCUUUGCUGCCUGAUCUAUGUUUUCAGGAGUCAUUACUGCCAAGAGCUUUCUAAUGUAGGCAGAAUAACAGCUCCAAAUGAUGUAUGGGAAGGUUUCAUGGCAAGUGUUGGGAAAAAUCCAAACUUCACAAGAGAGCAGAGGACCCAAAUAUUUUUGUUUUGAUUUCUGAAUAAAUGACCAGAUUUUGAGGAGGGCACAGUGCCAGCUCUGUGCCAUCUUAUCUUCAUUCUUCUCAGCUAGAACUACUGGUUCUCAUAUAUUUUAGAUAGGUUCAUAAAUGGCAAUGUACAUUGUAAAUGAUCUUAUUAUAAGAAAAAUGAAGACAUGGCCACAGUGGAGGUUAUGACAGAAGGAAAAAGAAAGCAGAAAAUAUUCUUGAAGCAAUAUUACAAGAUAAUGCAGUUUUUAAGCAUGGUAAAUUUGCACAUUUUUCUCUUAAUUCUAUCCAAGUGCCAAGUCAGUGUUAAGAUUAAUCAAAAAUAUUCCUCAGAAACUGUUUGCUAAACUUUCCUCUCUAACCUACUUUCAACUCCACAAGGAGAGGAGUUGAAUAUAAAGCAUUGCCAUCUAUUUAUGGUCAUUAAAUAUCAAGAAUGUUGAAAGCAGUAAUGAAAUGCCCACUACAUUAAGUGUUCUCGAGGUGUUAUUAGAGCUGAUAGUUUUAUUAGGUUUGACUACCUAAGCAAGUUGUUAUCUGCUGCAAUUGCACCUGUUGGAAGUGUGCUCACAAGUGGUUUGUGAGAAGUGAUUGCAGUGGCAUUGCAGGGAGCAACACCCAAUAUUGUGGUAUACUUUUUGUUUAGGUUUGAUACUAAACCUCCAAGGACAGCAAAAGCUUUUUAACUUGCAGUGAUGCCUGUUUAAUUUAAUUCCAAAAAGACUUUUCCCUGUGGAAGCAGUUACUAUAGCCAAGGGAAGGUUUGGUAGGUUCUAUUCUGCAAAAUAUAACCCAGGGACGUUUGUCUGCUUUCAGAGAUAUUUCCUCCUUAGAGAAGAGAUUGGAGAAACAAGCUGGCCACAGAAUUAAGGAGAAAAAUAACUUUUAGUCAUCUGUCAUGUCUCUGUUGCCUUCCCCUCUUGCUGUGUGCUCAGUCUAAUUUUUGUGUCUAGUUAGGAGCUACAUAUAUUGAUGAUGGAGCUGUCAGCCAGGGAAGUUGUUUAAUUUCCCUUUCAGGGACCAGUAGCCUCAUCUGAGAGCAAAGGUUUGGAAUGUUCUGGCAGUUCUCUUUGUUGAGCACAUCACUGGAGCAAAUAACAGCAGGUCCUGUAACCUUGAGGUGGAAUAGGAUAUUGGAUGGUACAUCUUACAGGAAAAUCCCUGAGCAGGAGAUACAAAAGCUUCCUGGAAAUUGCAUAAAUUAAGACGGUUUCAGACUGGAAACAUUCUCAUUCUUCUCACCUCAUUGAGGCUGGUGACCUCUGAUCUUCUGCUUGGCUGUAAUUGCUGCCUUUCAUAGAUUUUUGGAGAGAUUGCUGUUUUACAUUUAACACUCCUUCUCUGCCUGCCUAAUAUACUACUGAUCAAGCCAGCCAGUAAGGCCAGGCAAGAUAAAUUAGAUGUUUAAUUUGCACAUCAGGAACUUCAGGCAACCUAAUUUUAAGAGGACAUUUUUAUAAAGUAAAAUAGCAAUGUGCACAUAUUAGUAAUUGUCAGUUUCACAAAAUUAUUAAUGAUAGAUGAGCUCUGACUUUGGAAUCUUUAGAUAAAUUAGUGUUUGAAGACUGUGCCAUGAAACACAGACAACAAACCUCAUUAGGAAACUUAUCACAUAAUUGUCAAUAUUAUUGUAAUUUAUAUUAUUUUUCUCCAUCACUCUCCAUACAAAAAUAUAUAAACCAACAGUCAUAGUACAGAUUAGUCACAUUGUGAAUAGUCUUCCCAAAAAAUAAGUUGAUUUUAGCAAUCUGAAAACAGAACAAUGUAUUCCUGGACAUGCCACUGUCUCACAUUGUUCAUCCCUUAAGGGUUCCCAUUGUCCUGACAUGGCCUGAACACUGCAGGGUUUAGAUAAUGUUUUUGGGUGAGUUUGUGUUCCUGUAUCUCGUCUCCUUGGUCCUUCUAUCCCUUCUAGACACAUUCUGCCUUUCCACAUCUUCUAUCCUUUAUUUACCUUGGGAGCCAGGAAAAACCUACGAAGAACAUAAAAAUAUGUGUUCUGCAGGUGGUUCAAAUAGCUACUUGAUUUUGGGCUGAUCUAUCCCUCUCCCACAUAUGAAUACAUGAGGAUCAAGGUUGUGUUCUCCAGACCUGCUCCCAGACCCUGGUUCCAAGCUCUUCUCCAAAGUUUUCCAAAGACUGUUGUCAGGCACAGAACUGGCCCUGUGAGGUUCUGUGUGUAUGAACACAAUUCAGAGCUGCUUUAACUCUUCCAAUAAACCUUAGAAAAAGUGUUCUGGUAUAUUUUUUUAACAGACAGAUUAUGAGAUAUUUUUCCAGAUUUUUUUCCCAGACUUUUCUCAGUUUGAACUUUCCAUCACACAUGAAGACAAACCUUCUGUUUGUUUAGUUCUUAUCAUUAUGAAUUUUAAUAUCAGUGGAGAUGAUAGACUGACAAAUUUUGGUUCGUUUGUGCUUCACUUUUGUGUACACCUUGAACAUAUAUGUCCUAUUACGACUACAAAAUUAUAUGUGGAUACGUAUUUUUAGUGAUGCUACUGAUUUUAAAAUAUUCUGUAAACUACCUUUUGAUAACCCUUUAAAUCAGAUUCUUGUGUGGCAUUUCUUGGAAUGCUGAAGAGAUAAAAUAUUGACCAUCUAUAAAAUGGUGCACUUUUUUUUUUGUAUCUGUUUCACAAACAGGUUUUAUUCUUUGCAUCUCAUUUACACAUUGCUGAGUGUCAUAGUAUAUCACAGUACAAGCUGGCUUGCACUGGGCAAUUAAUUCAGUUGUAGAUUUGGCACUGGGUUGACUGACAAGUAGGGAAAACCUUCCUCAGUGUCCGAGGGUGGCAUUAUGAUGCUUGUAUCCCCAAUUGUGUGUUCUGUUUAUGCUGGAUAUUAUGUUCUGUGCCUUCAAGGCUGGCUCUGAAGAGCGAAGUUUUGUUUUGGUUUGUUAUCAGCCUGCUCCUCCACGGCUGGCAGGACAGAGAGACGGGGCAGUACAUAGUGCAGCUUUUGCUUUUUGCUUUGCUUUUUGAUUUGCUCUUGCUCUUGCUUUGCUCCUGCUUUGCUCUUGCUUUUUGCUUCUGCUUGUUAGUUAGUUUAGUUAAGCAGUCUGAUUUUUUCCCUGGACUGUUUUUCCUUUCCCUUUUUUGGAACCACUCGAACCUGCUCCCGACUGAGACCUGGGAAACACCAAGAGUUUACACCUUGUGGCCUGCAGCAGCCAUCCCCAGUGCUGGAGGGAUUGACAACAGAGCGACCACUCCCAGGAAAGACUUUCUGAAUUUGUCAUCCUUUUCAGAUCGGUGAAAGCAUUGUCAUCUGGUAUUGUUCAUUUUGUGUGCUGGGGGUGUUUUGCCUAUUAAAUAAACAGGUUCUUUCCACUUCUCUCCGAGGAAUCCUUCUCGAAGCAGUUGGGGAAGGGGCUGUGUGGGUUUGCUUUCUGGAGGGGCCCCCUUUGGAGGCUUUCUCCCAGAUUUGCUCUAAACCAGGACACCCAACCGGUUUUUGGCCCUGAUCAAACCCUGAACCUGACUGGUAAAGGAAAAAUGUACUAUUAGACCUAGAUGAUUCUGUGCAAACUUUGCAAAAGCUAACCCUUUUCCUUUGAGAUAAAUGAGGAAACCUUGUCUGGAAGAGGUUCUUCCAAGUUCUUAUUGUGAAAAAGAAACCCGUCAGCAACAGCAGACCCCAGGUAAUAUUAAAACAUAUGCACAAUUGUAAGUUUUGCCUUAUUAAUGUUGUUCAAAAGUCCAUGAGGUUUUUUCCCCCCUAUUUUUUAUUAAAACAAAGAAAAGGGAAAAUAUUUGGGGUGAAUGUACACCCCCACGUUAAGUCUUGGCCAAUAUAAUGUUCUCAUGUUUUUCUCAUAUCUUGCAAUCAAUCAUAUAACAGUACGAUCAUCCGGUGAUGUUCAGCUGCUCUAACCCAAGGUAAUGGUGAGACACCUUCUCACCAAUAGAUGGGGGGCUCUUUGAGACUUACUACCUGAGAACAGAGAUAUGAAUGCCUUUUAAUGGACACUGAGACAUGUUGGAUGCCUGACAGAUGUGUCCAGCCUACACCACAUCCUGCUCAGGACCACAGGCAGCAUCCUCCUGGUGACCCCUCAACAGCCAUCACAGAGCCCUGUAACCAGAACAGUUCAUUACCUACCUCAUAGAAAUCUGGGAGUCUUGAAUUGACAGUUACUGCAUUUGUUUAAAAAUGAUUUUUUCCUGUUUACAAACUGUUUUUUCUGUUUACAGAUUGUUUUUCUAGUAGUUGAGUUUUUUUCUAACAAUUCUAAGGGUUAAAUGGUUUUAGAGCUAAAUAGUUUCUUGGUUUUACAGAUAAGUUGUAACUUGUAACUUCUAAGAAAAUAGCCUGUGACAUGUUAGCCUGAAAAGAUAUUAGUAGUUCUUGCCUAAUAGCUCCUAGAUGUGAAUGCUGCAGCUCCAGUGAUACAUGGCCUCAUGCAAAUUAGACCCAUACUGUCUUCAGUCACCUGGUUUGCAAUGGGUCCUUGCAGAUGAGUGACAGAGAGCAAGUUGCAGUUUUUAAUAAAGAAAGAACUGAGGAGAUGUCACAGUAUAUCACACUACAAUCUGGCUUGUACUGGACAAUUAAUUUGGCUAGAAAUAAGAAACCCAACUGGCCCCUGGGUUGACUGACAGGAACCUCAACCAAUUACAUUCCAGCCUAAGCAGCAGACAUCUCACUGGUCAGGGAGCUGGGCAGUUUUAAAAGAUCAGACCAAUGGGGUUAUCCAGGCAAAUCCCCUUUACAAAGAGGGGCUCAAGGAAUAAGAUCUCCCUAUUGCCACAUGAGCAUCGGGUGAGUGGUGGUCUCUGUCUCUGACCCACUCACCCGCUGCAUUCACAGCUGAGAACUGUAGCUGGCAAAGGCCAAAGAGGAGCAUUCUCCAGAGCCUUUGCAUGCUCUGUGUCAAACUAGGAUGAAUAUAAAUGUGUGAAUAUAAACAUGUGAAUUUUGAAGUAAAAUUAAAAAAAUUGAAAGGAAUAAUAUAAAAGAAAGAACUUUCCAAUGUUUUAGGUUGUUAUAUAAACUUCAUUUCGUAGCAAAUGCUCUGGACUUUUUUUUUUAAACAGUAAAAUGUUUUUAAAUUUGCAGGUAUUUGUGGGGACAAACAAAAAUCUGAAUGCAUUCCUCUGACCCGGGAGUAUCCCAAUAGGUGGAACACACCCUGUGACAGGGAAUGAACAUAAGGAGACCCUGGAGGAGCUGAGCUGGAAAGGGAAUCCAGCACCUGCACAAAAUUCCUGUUUUCACCAUUAAACUGUUGUCCUUUCAAUCUACUUUUGACCAUCUAAUUUGGGCUGGCUUCUUCCUGAUAUAGGUGUUACUCACACUCUGAUGGAAAGCUUUGAUAUCCACAAUUUAAUUGUUUUUUCUCUUCUCUUCACACUGUCUUGUUUUCUCUGCUCAAGUGAGACCCCACCUGCAGAGCUGCCCCAGCCCUGGGACCAGCACAGCCAGGACCUGGAGCUGCUGCAGAGAGCCCAGAGGAGGCUCCAGGAUGAGCAGAGGGAUGGAGCAGCUCUGCUGGGAGCAAAGGCUGGCACAGCUGGGAUUGUUCACCUGGACAGGAGAAGCUUUAG